rnacentral:rRNA from 1 species
GUGAGGAAUAUUGGUCAAUGGGCGGAAGCCUGAACCAGCCAUGCCGCGUGAAGGAUGAAGGUUCUAUGGAUUGUAAACUUCUUUUAUUUGGGAAUAAACCCUCCGACGUGUUGGAGGCUGAAGGUACCAAAUGAAUAAGCACCGGCUAACUCCGUGCCAGCAGCCGCGGUAAUACGGAGGGUGCAAGCGUUAUCCGGAAUCAUUGGGUUUAAAGGGGCCGCAGGCGGAUUUAUAAGUCAGUGGUGAAAGCCUACAGCUCAACUGUAGAACUGCCAUUGAUACUGUAAGUCUUGAAUUCGGUCGAAGUGGGCGGAAUAUGACAUGUAGCGGUGAAAUGCAUAGAUAUGUCAUAGAACACCGAUAGCGAAGGCAGCUCACUAGGCCUGAAUUGACGCUCAUGGACGAAAGCGUGGGGAGCAAACAGGAUUAGAUACCCCUGUAGUCC